AUGGUGACGCAACAAAGUAGCGCGAUCGGAGCAUUGGAAAUAGCGGCAGAAUUGGAUGUGCAUGUGCAACAGUGGUACUGCUGGGAUUGGGAAGCCGGUGAUACUCUGAGCAGAUGCGGUUUGCAGCAGCUAUUGGCGGAGUGCGUGCGGUUUCUGCGCGGGUUUCGGCUGAGAAUGGAGGGAAGCGGCGCCAUGUGGAUGUGCAGUUAUGUAGAGGCAGCAUCAUAUAUGACAUUGGUUUGGCAUAUGGUGCAAGACUUUUGGCACAAGUGA